UACGAAGGGGGCGAGCGUUGUUCGGAUUUACUGGGCGUAAAGGGCGCGCAGGCGGUCAUUUUUGUCGAGUGUGAAAGCCCCGGGCUUAACCUGGGAACUGCGCUCGAAACGGGAUGACUAGAGAUCGGGAGAGGAGAGUGGAAUUCCCAGUGUAGAGGUGAAAUUCGUAGAUAUUGGGAAGAACACCGGUGGCGAAGGCGACUCUCGUGGACCGAUACUGACACUGAGGAGCGAAAGCGUGGGGAGCGAACAGG
rnacentral:rRNA from 1 species